rnacentral:tRNA from 1 species
GGGGUCAUAACUCAGUGGUAGAGCAUGUGCCUAGCAUGCAUGAGUUCCAGGGUUCAAUGCCCAGUACCUCCA